rnacentral:rRNA from 1 species
GAGGAGAAGUCUGAGGAGCACGCCGCGUGAGCGAUGAAGGCCUUCGGGUCGUAAAGCUCUGUUGUUAGGGAAGAACAAGUAUCGUUCAAAUAGGGCGGUACCUUGACGGUACCUAACGAGAAAGCCACGGCUAACUACGUGCCAGCAGCCGCGGUAAUACGA